UAUCCUAUAUUUAAUCAAUUAACAACCUUUGGAGAACCUAAAAAAUGUUGCACACUGUAUAUCUGUCAUUUGAAUUAUUGAUAAUAAUCAAUUUUGAGCUUGGAUAGGCACAUAAUGCCAAAUUUGAAAGUUCAUACAUUGCGCCUUAGAAAAGGUUAAAUGCAGUUAUAAAUUAAAUCUUGUUAUCUAGAGCAAAAUUCCAGAGAAUGUUCAUUGACUGAACUUUUCACUAGUAUCUCAAAUAUGUCAAAAUAAUAAUAUAAAGAAAAGAAAAUAACCAAUUUAUGGAAAUUAUAUGAUAACAUACCUGCCUCGGGAGGUGUACUCUAAGAAUAUUUGGAUGCAAAUCCUUAAUUACAACUUCGUCUGCAAUUUUUAUAGGUAGACGAAUGUAUAACUUUUUAACCUCAGAACCCUCUAUGCUGGAAAAUAAUAAAAAUGGACAUGUUUGAUAUUCAUUAUAACCUCUAAAUAUAUUAAUUAAUCCAUGAAUCAA